rnacentral:rRNA from 1 species
UACGAAGGGGGCUAGCGUUGCUCGGAAUUACUGGGCGUAAAGGGCGCGUAGGCGGAUGUUUAAGUCGGGGGGUGAAAGCCCGGGGCUCAACCUCGGAAUUGCCUUCGAUACUGGACAUCUUGAGUACGGGAGAGGUGAGUGGAACUCCGAGUGUAGAGGUGAAAUUCGUAGAUAUUCGGAAGAACACCAGUGGCGAAGGCGACUCACUGGCCCGUUACUGACGCUGAGGCGCGAAAGCGUGGGGAGCAAACAGG